rnacentral:rRNA from 1 species
GGCAUGCUAGUGCGGCGAGUGAGCGGCAAGAGCUCAGAUUUGAAAUCGCCUCGGCGAGUUGUAAAUUGCAGGUUGGAGUCUUUGUGGCGGCGUGUGUCUAAGUCCCUUGGAACAGGGCGCCAUUGAGGGUGAGAGCCCCGUGCGGCACGCGUCUAAGCUUUAAGACCCUUCUGACGAGUCGAGUUGUUUGGGAAUGCAGCUCUAAGUGGGUGGUAAAUUCCAUCUAAGGCUAAAUACUGGCGAGAGACCGAUAGCGAACAAGUACUGUGAAGGAAAGAUGAAAAGCACUUUGAAAAGAGAGUGAAACAGCACGUGAAAUUGUUGAAAGGGAAGGGUAUUGGGCUCGACAUGGGGACUGCGCACCGUUGCUUCUUGUAGGCGGCGCUCUGUGCGGUUUCUGGGCCAGCAUCAGUUUUUGCCGCGGGAGAAUGGGGGGAGGAACGUGGCUCUUCGGAGUGUUAUAGCCUCUCUCAGAUGCCGCGAGCGGGGACUGAGGUCUGCGAUUCGUUCAAGGAUGCUGGCACAACGGCGCAAUACCGCCCGCUGAAAAACCGGGGGGCAAAAA